rnacentral:tRNA from 1 species
AAAGCUUUAAGUUAAUAAAACUAUUAACCUUCAAAGUUAAAAUUAUAAUUUUUAUAAGCUUUA